CCUACGGGAGGCUGCAGUGGGGAAUAUUGCACAAUGGGGGAAACCCUGAUGCAGCGACGCCGCGUGAGUGAAGAAGUAUUUCGGUAUGUAAAGCUCUAUCAGCAGGGAAGAAAAUGACGGUACCUGAUUAAGAAGCCCCGGCUAACUACGUGCCAGCAGCCGUGGCAACACGUCGGGGGCAAGCGUUAUCCGGAUUUACUGGGUGUAAAGGGAGCGUAGACGGCAGCACAAGUCUGGAGUGAAAUGCCGGGGCUUAACCCCGGAACCGCUUUGGAAACUGGGCAGCUAGAGUGCAGGAGAGGUAAGUGGAAUGCCUAGUGUAGCGGUGAAAUGCGUAGAUAUUGGGAAGAACACCGAUGGCGAAGGCGGCUUACUGGACUGUAACUGACGUUGAGGCUCGAAAGCGUGGGGAGCGAACAGGAUUAGAUACCCCAGUAGUC
rnacentral:rRNA from 1 species